GGGUCUACCCAUUGGUCAGGCUUAAUUGUCUGUACAGGUGAGUUGGAUCUCUACCUUCUGAGGAACUUUCAUGCCAUUUAUUUGGUGUGAUUUGAAAUCAGAACUAUUACUUUGAAAAAAUUAGAGUGUUUAAAGCAGACUAUCGUCUGAAUACAUUAGCAUGGAAUAAUGAAAUAGGACGGACUGAUUCUAUCUCGUUGGUUUCUAGGAUCACCGUA
rnacentral:rRNA from 1 species